GCACAGCCACAGAAACAGCUCAAUCAGAUGCAAAAGGAUGAUAUUUCUGCAUAGCAAAUCAAUGGGGAAGAUUCAGCAACGGAGGAAAAACUACGAAAUUGUAUUAUGCAGCGCGGAUCUUGCAAAGUAGUGCUUGAUACUCGACUCGUGUUCUAAACUUCCUACAACUCUCGAAUUUCAGGUCUUGGCGAAGAUUCAGGCAACCGAUCAGGAAGAAAAUCAGAAACAGCAAAAAGAUGGCCGCAACGGAACCAACCCUUUGCAAGAUUCACGGCAAUACUUACAUCUGGGAA
rnacentral:lncRNA from 1 species